UAGAUGUAAUGGUCGUUAUGUUUAUCGAGGUAUCCAACGAGUUAUAAUAGCUUGAUAACAACAUAUUGUCACACCAACAACUGUCGAAGAAAGUCUGUUUGCAACAGCACGGUGUUUAAUUAACACGCCAAAAAAAACCUUUCAAGAUGACUGAUAUACCAGCACGGACAAUACCAAGGGGCCCCAUAGCUGCCAUGUACAACAGUCCUGGGCCACAAUAUGGUUUACCAGGCCUUGUUGGUGAAAUAAACCAUGACCCCCGUAGUGUGCACACUAAGAAACCAGCUUAUUCCUUUGGUUUAAAGCAUGGAAAAUACAGGGAUGACUGUGGACCUGGACCUUCAUAUUUACUAAGUAACAGAGUAUUCAGAGAUGGUCUGGUUGGAACUCCUUCUUAUUCCUUAUAUGGUAGACAUAGAGACCAGUCAUCGUAUAAAACCCCCGGACCAGGAACUUAUAAACCAAGUAGUUUAGCUGACGGUUCCAAACCCGCUCCUCCUAGUUAUUCUUUCGGUUCAAGACACAGAAACCGCCAAACAGAUAAUUGCCCAGGACCAAAUGCAUAUAAUCUUCCAACAAUGAUAGGACCUUGCAAACAGGGUGGAAAAUCUGAGGCACCAAUGUAUUCAUUAACAGGGCGUAGUAAAAUAGGCAGUUUUCAUGAAGAUCUACAAAAGACACCAGGUCCCAGUCAUUAUCCAGUGGUAAAUACAGGUGUUUAUAAAAAUAAACCACCAGGUUAUAGCAUGACGAGUAGAAAUGCAAUGCCAGGUGAUUCAACAACUAAACCAGGACCAGGAGUUUACAGUCCAGAAAAUAUAUGGGUCCACAGGAAACAACAACCCAGAUUUUCGUUUGGUAUUCGUCACAGCCCGUAUACAGCACCACUCAUUGUAGAUGUACAGGAUUAAUGAGGAUAACCCUUGAUAAAACUAUUAAUGUAUUACUAAACCAAUAGUCCAUCAUCUUACCUUGAUUCCUACGCAUUUGUGUCCUUCAGUGUUUCCUUCUCCUUAACUACUCAAUAUUAAAUGAUAAUUUGUUUUUUUACAAUUUUCUUUAAUUUCUUGUUAUUUUCUUUAUUGAUUUGCAGAUAUGUAUUUUAAUCUUUAAAUCUUGUUGAAAUGUAUAGAAGUGUUAAUUUUUUAUAUAAAUUUUUUUAAUGAUUGUGUCUUAUCGAGCUAUACCAUAACAGCAUUAUUUUAACAUGAACCUUUCUGAUACCUGAAAAUACUAAUAUAUAUAAGUUAUAUCAUUGAUGGUUGUUUUUGUUAAAUUGAAUGUGAUAGUUCAUUAAUUAUUAUCAAUCUGAUUAAAGCCGAUGUUUAGGGUUUUGUAGGAUUCGUGGGGGUGGGGGUGUCUACUAUAUUGCCAUUUGACAUAUAUUCUUUGAAGCCAUUGUCCAGACCACAUACACUCAUUGUCUGUAUUGGUAUGCAGGUCUGCAACUUGAAGUUAAUUCUGGGAAUUUCAACAUUCAAAGAUAUGAGCAUGACUUUAAGGUUAAAGUAUGAUUGGCUUGUUGCAAAUAUAUCACUAUGUUUUAAUUAACAAUUAACACACUAAUAUUGAAAAUGCAUGGGUGCAGGGUAUAUUUAAUUAUAAAGCAUAAUUUUUUUUAUUUAGAUAUUAAGUAAAGAGUUGUGCGGUUAAUUUCAAAUAGAUCUAAGUAAAACUAAAACAUAACUAAAGUAUAUGUACAUAUAGCUUUAAUAUUUUGUGAAUUUAGCAAAAUUAUGUUGGCAUUUGUUAGAAGUAUUUAUACUAUAUGCAAGCACAAUACUAUAACUGUAAUAUUAAUCCUUUAGAAUAUGAUGACAAUUAGUGCUAAUAACUUUUUCUGAAUAGGUUCAGCUUUUAGGACACACCAAUUUUGUUUUUUGUUUCACAGGCCUGCUAUUGUUAAUAUUCACAGAAUUAAAACAAAAAUAAAACUGAAAUUUUCACAAUUGGAAUAUUCUGGCAGUUGUAUUUCAUCCAGAAUAAGUAGAAAUAGUACUACAGUGCGAAAUCUGUGGAAUACAAGUUUUUAAUGAUUGAAAUAAUAGUUUAAAUUGUUAUUUUUGCUACCAAUAAUAUAAAAAAAAAUGAGAAAACGAAAAUCAAAGAACUAAAACAUCACAGUAUUUUGUUCACUUAUCCUUUAAGACCUAUACUGCAUAUUUGAAAUAAUUUUGAUUGUCACUCCUGAAUACACAAAAUUAAUUUUGUGUGGCCUUAGGUAUUAGAUGGGGAUGGAAGAGCAUGCCAAAAUAUCUCUAUUUGGAAACAUUAAGUGUCUUCUUUUUUCUAGCUAAAUAUAAAUCACAGGAUAAAUAGCUGUCUCAAAUUUUGAUAUGAAGCGGGUUAUAGAUCAAUACUCACCACAUUUACAUCUAUUUAAGCCAAAGAGUAUCAUUUAUAGUACUAUAGACGCUAUUUAUGUACAUGUAUUGAAUAAGUGGUAUCAGUUACAGCUAAUACUUGAUUCAUUUUAAGAUGCAGAGCUUCAUUUCUAUAACAUUGCUAAAUGUUUUUAAGCUAAAAGAUUCUUCAAUCAGUAUUAUUGUACAUGUUCUAGCCCCAAAAUAAUUAUAAUUUUAUAUACAUAUAUUGUAAUAUUUGGAAGGCUUAUAAUAUAUAUAUAUAUUGUUCAGUAAUCCUAUAUUUUAUAUAAUAUCUUUAGCCAACUUGUAGAUAUAUAAAUAUACAAUUUGCUAGAAUAUAUAGUUAUAUGUGUGUGAAUUAAUCUUUGAUAAAACUAUACAAAAUAAUA